UUCAUCCCCCAGAUCGCGAGUUGCCUGACCACCCUCCAGGAUUUCUUCGCCAUCCGCGCAACCUACCGGGAUCUCCUCCCUCCAUCGUCAUCCAACCUCGCCUCCCAAGCCCCCCACCUCCUCCUUGUCCCCGGAUCUCGAGCCAUGUUCCACCUCCCCCUCCGUCGUCGCCUGCGCUUCCGCCUCCCCCUCCAUGAUUUUGAUCCUAACCCUGCCGCCUUCUACUCUUUUGGCUGUCGCAUCGCCAUGGCCAGCCCCAGCCACCAUGAGCUCAGCUUCGUCCACCUUCUCACAGGCGAGCGAUUUCGCCUCCCCUAUCCACCGGCACCCUUCUGUCGCCUCCUCCUAUCUGGCGAUCUCGUCCUUGCCUUCGUUCCGACGGUCGGCCGUGCCGUCCAGUACUGUCGCCUUGGGGAUGUUGAGUGGCGUGUGGUGUCAUGCACUGAACCCUAUGUCCUGGAGGAUUUGAUCUUUCUCAAGGGCAACCUACACGCACUGGUCAGAUCUGAAGAUGUUGGCGGCCUAUGUUACCGUCUCGCCGUGGCCAAUCUGUCAGACAAGAAUACAGUGAAAUUAAUGUUUCUUGGAGAUAAUUUGGAUACACAGGCCGCACAUGGGAGUUCGUAUUUCUGUCUCGCAGAGUGUCUUGAUGAGUUGUUGCUUAUUAGCGCUGUUGGGGACUGCCCAGAAGAGUUUCAUGUUUUCCGGUGGCAGUCAAUGGAGGGGAAGUGGACAAGGACUACUAGCCUUGGUCACUGCACAUUGUUCUUGACAUAUUUUUACUUUGUAGGCUGUGUUGUUCCGACGAAAGGAAUGACAUGCUUUUCAGGUUAUUACUUUGCAAGUUCCCUUGGUCCAGAUCAUCCAAGAGUUCGAAGGGACUGCUUAUACUUCACAGAUGCCAAAAGGAAGUGGAUCGAGUAUUCCUUGGCCGAUGGAUCUUGUGAUGAAUUUGUUGCUGAGAACUUAGAGGGAGCUGGAAGGCCUGAUUCCGAUUUUAGGGCACCUGUUUGGGUCUUUCCGAGCAUGUGUUGA
rnacentral:rRNA from 1 species